rnacentral:misc_RNA from 1 species
GAUGAAGAACGCAGCGAAAUGCGAUAAUUAAUGUGAAUUGCAGAAUUUAGUGAAUCAUCGAAUCUUUGAACGCACAUUGCGCCCCUUGGUAUUCCGGGGGGCAUGCCUGUUCGAGCGUCAUUUCAACCCUCAAGCUCUGCUUGGUCUUGGGCCGCGCCGGCGACGGCGGGCCUCAAAAACAGUGGCGGCGCCAUCUGGUUCCUCAGCGUAGUAAUUCUUCUCGCUGUUGGGCCCGGGUGGCCGCUGGCCAGCAACCCCAAAUUUUCUAUGGUUGACCUCGGAUCAGGUAGGGAUACCCGCUGAACUUAAGCAUAUCAAUAAGCGGAGGA